rnacentral:lncRNA from 1 species
CAGAAAUAUAUUCUCAAGCAGAAUGCAUGACAUAAAUUUGAAUGCAAAAUGUUCAAUUACGAAGUAAAUACAGGUAAUGCAAAUAAUAAAUUACCUCUAAUAAAAAUCAUAAAAGAUGUGUCUUCAAAGAGAGAGCGGCUUUAACUUACAACUGUGAAUUGCUUAAAGAGAAAAGAAUUAAUAAAUGCUGAUUUACUCUGAUGAUUAUUUAGCACAUAAUUCACCUAUUCAUAACGACUCCUAGUAAUCAGACUGUUGUCUUACGUUCUCCAAUAUGAGGCAAGACUGUUUCCUCAGCAAUUUUCCCCUUAUCAGAUCAUCUCGUCCGAUUCUAUUAAUUUUCUUCCCUGAAUCUGCUAACACUGAUUUCUGAUUUCCUUGCCCUACUAACUAAAGACUGUUAAAAGGAUUUCUCUGACACUGUAGCUAGGAACACCCUAUGCCUUAUCAUCCACUGACUCCCAAAAACUUUUUUUUUUUUUUUCCCAAAUCCAUCCGCUUGGUUUCAUCGUGAAAUGUAGUGGACGCUGGUUAGUUCUGCGCCAUAAAAUCCACUCGUGGAUAAACAAAGAGUUCAGACCCUACAUGUGAUGCACCUUGUAUUUUUAGAUGAUAUAUGUCUGAUUCCAACAUGAUAUACCUGAGUAGCUGUAACUCACCAUUAGGAAAACUGUAUUAUUUUUAGCUUCUAACCAUUAUGAUUUGAACACACCCAGAGGAUCCCCCCCGCCCAAGAAAGAAAAAUUCACAUGGAGUUGUUGUGUGUGUACUGACAUGAAGCUUGUGUUUUUGAUGUUCCGGUUUCCCAAUCCGCGCUGUGAUUCGACCCAUGCCCUCCUCCCCCCCUCCAGAUUCUUCUAUAAAUAUUCGCUGCUUUCAGAAACUUUAAUGCUGUUGGUUUGAAAUGGUCAAUAAUGACAAACGCAUGGUUUCUAAAUUACUCUAUAUUGUUCUACAGAGAUUACUAGAGUAUAUAUAGCAAGGGGAUAUUAAGCAGUAAGAAAACACAGUUCAUAUUGUAUUUGGAUUAGAUUGGCUUGGAUAGAAGUGAAACAAACAAUGUUAGCAAAGAAAUUUAGAGCAAUGUGGCCUGCUGUAAUUGUAGAGACUCAAAAACCUGAAUAGUACUAAUUAAAAUGAGAGAGCUCCAUUGUUACAAGAGAAACGCUGCUAACAGAGAACUGUAAAUGUUUAGACACCCCUGUGAAUCACUAAAUAAUAAAGUAAAAAGGACAAAAAUGAGAAUUAAGUUAUAAGCCUGAGAGGACCACUGCUCCAUGUCAAAACAAAACAAAAAAGAUUUGGAUUUUUUUUUUUUCCCCAAAAGAAAAUAGGAGACUAUAAAAGACUCUGCAAUAAGAGAAAGAAAAAUACCCUGGCUUGACAGCAGUGUACAAAAAUAAACCAGAAAAAUGUGCAGAUAAUAAUACGUUUAGCUGGCCAAACAUGGGCAUUUUAAUUUCUAGAAAUGAUACAUAAUUGCAACAAUUAGGUGCAUGGCCAUGAAUCUGUAUCCCAUGGUCUUCAUCAUUAGUGAACUUUGUUUAUAAAUGUUGUUUAUUUAUGAAUGUUUCAGUGUUCCUGACUGAAAAAAAAAUACUUUCAUGAGAGGCAGGAAAUAUAUCUCACAGCUUGUACCAAAACUGAUGCAAAAGGAUAAAAAAAUUUUUAUAAACAAAAAAAGAUUUUUUCCUAAAUAUACUGAAAUUCAUAUUUUACAUGAAAAAUAUCAGCUUCAGACAUUUGUGGCUAAUGAUUUUUUUUACAAGCCUUAGAAAAAUUAUUGCUAUGGACACUGUUAAAUGACAUAAUAUGUUUGUGUAACUGAAGCAGUUAAAUUUCCCUCUGAAUACAUAGGCUAUAAUCCCUUAACUUCAUUACUACGUAAAAUACUGUUUGAGGGGAGGAAAGCAAAGGAAUUCUGUUAGGUUGCAUAAAUAUUGACAUAAUCUUCACUCUUUCUUCCCCAAACUGGUAACAGCAUACCUCAUUCCAUCCCAACAAAGUACUCCCAUAAAACCAAAACUACUCCUAUAAACAGCUUCUCUGCAGUAAUGAUGAAAGGAAAAAGUGCUUUUCUGGAAAGUACCAACAGUGCUGGCCUUUUAGGGUAAACCUUUUGGGGAGUCUCUUGUUAGGGAUUCCCAGGGUUGCAGAAAACCCAAGGCUGCCAGCAUGGGAGAAAUUAACACAAGACGACUCUGGUCUAAGGAGCCAAUGAGUGACACCUAAGGUCUCGUUAUAAAUAGUAAAGUUAUGCUGUUGGGUGGGUGAGAGGAUUCUGAAGUGCAAUGUUCAAGAAGCUGGCUUAAUAUAUGACUAAGUGUCAGAAGUCAGGUUUUCUGAGAAUUACUUUUCAGAUAAACAACUUUAUAGCACUGCACUUAAUCUUACUUACUAGAGACAUCUCAUUUAUCACUGAAUUACAAGUAACUUUCAUUCUAUUGAUAUUGCCAUAAAGCCCGCUGAAAAUCCAUCCUGGCAUUUUUAAAGGGUAUCGGGCUUUGCUUGUUACACGGGAUCCUCUUGCAAAAAGUCUCUCGGCCAGAAUUACUCUGAGAAGGGUCCUGUGUCCUCUGGCUUCUUUAUCCACAAACAAGGGGGACAGAGAAAGAGAAAAAAAAUGAUUCUCGCACCUGCCAGCACUGCUUUCAGCCCUUCUUCUAACAAGGGCGGUUCUCUAACUUUGUGCCUCUCUCCUCCUCCCACCUUAGGAAAGCAGCUUCUUUUCAUUUCAUCAACAAAACUGGACACGGAUCAAUUUCAACUGACCUUUGCCGAAAGGUGGCGCUGUUGAGGUAAAAACCAACUCGUUCCAACAAUAGUUUUCACUCUUCGAUCGUUUUGCAGGCUUUUAAGAUUUUUUUUAAAUACACCCUCCUAGCGUCUCCCCCUUCCAUAAAAUAAAUAUGAUUAACACCAAACGCAUUUCAUUAAUUGGAGAAAUCAACAGUCCAACAUCCAAGCAAGCGGGCCGGUCUUCCAAACGCUGGGUCCGCUUCGCGCACUCUUGCUUUCCCUCAAAUAAAUCUCGGCGUCUCCGACUGGCCUAUCGCUUUAAAAUCUUAGAAACAGAAUUGUUGGUUCUUUCUUUUUUCUUCUUUUCUUCUUCUUCUUUUUUUUUUUUUUGCAUAAGCUUUAGAAGAAUCGAUCUAGAAAAUUGAAUAGUUAUUAACAUCUGCAACCGGAGGGGAGAAGUAGCCCCCACCUCACCCCACCCCACCCCCACUCUGGGUUUCCGGGCCCGUCCAGAAACCGCGGUUUAAAAUUUAACCCUUCGAGGGAAGCUUGUGAAGGCUAGGGUGUUGGGUUUUUUUCCCCUCGUUCCGCGUCAGGAUCAAGUCUGAAAUAAUUAGGUGAAACGUAGAAGUGCAAAGGGCGCGCGGGACCCUGAUAAACAGGAGUCAGAUUUCAUAAGGGGGUGGAUGACUCUCUCUGUGUGUGUGUGUGUGUGUGUAUGUGUGUGUGUGAGAGAGAGAGAGAGAGAGAGAGAGAGAGAGAGAGAGAGAGAGAGAGAAUGAGAAUGAAUCUCAAAGGCCAAACUGGGGCCAGAGUCGGAAGCCUGAGGGUGAGCGGGGGAGUUAACUCGCGUAGGAGUUCUUUCCCCCCAAGGGCACGCGUCGCCAGCAGGCCCCUGCUUGGAAUGGCCCCGAACAACUUAUUUCACCUUCUUUAAAAGAGGGUGUGAUAAAACGGGCUUUCUGUCUCCGCCACUCCGAAUCGCCCUGGCAGGCGCUCGGCCGGGCGACGUCCUGCGCGCAGUCGGGACCCCUGCACCCCCACGCGCCGGCUCCGGGAAGAGGGACAAAGAGUUUGGGUCAAGUUUGAGCUCCGGGCAGUGCCAGGCUCGGGGAAGGAAGGUCCCCUGGGUGGACACCCGGGUGCCGAAGGUGGAGUAAAGAGAAGAAGCUGCCUGGCGAAUACAGGAUCCAGAGAGUGGGGGUCAGGCCAAUCUCCGCUGAGGGAGUGGCAGGCAAGCUGGGGCUCCGGAAGGCAGGCCUCUCUCGCUCCAAAGUAAAGCAAAUCGGCCUCCCGGUCCACCUGGUUUCCCACAGCGCCGCUGGAAAACUCCUUCCCCUCUUACACCAAACUUUGUUCCCGGCUCUGCAGCCUCCUGAGGAGGCUGCGGAGCGGGAAGGGUUAAGGCUGCCCGUCCCAGCUGACAGUCAGCUGAUUGGGCCCUGAUUGACAGCUCCGAAAAGUUUCCUUGUCUCUACACUAUUAUGCUAAUCGCGGCCGCCUCCCAUUGGUCUGGAGUACCAGUCAAUUUCCCAUUUGGGCCUGACGUCACAAGUGCUAUAAAACUCAGCAAUUGCUUUAAACUCUUCUUGCUGGAUCAGAGGCUUUAAAAUCUUUUUUUCAUCUUCGAGCUGUAGCUCGGGCUGCUCGUCGGCUCGGCCUCCCCCCUUUUGCUCUCCGCCUCGCCUUUCCCCGGGACUUCGCUAUUUUGCUUUAAAAAAAAAAAAAAAAAAAAAAGCCAAGAAAGAACUCAACUCCCCCCUCCCUUUCCUCCAGCCCGGCUGCACCUCUGUCUUGCACUUUGCACGGAGGGAGGAAGAGCGCGAGGGAGAGAGAGAGAAAGAGAGAGAGAGAGAG